rnacentral:rRNA from 1 species
UACGUAGGGGGCUAGCGUUGUCCGGAAUCAUUGGGCGUAAAGCGCGUGUAGGCGGUUCGGUAAGUCCGCUGUGAAAGUCGGGGGCUCAACCCUCGAAUGCCGGUGGAUACUGUCGGACUAGAGUACGGAAGAGGCGAGUGGAAUUCCUGGUGUAGCGGUGAAUGCGCAGAUAUCAGGAGGAACACCAAUUGCGAAGGCAGCUCGCUGGGACGUUACUGACGCUGAGACGCGAAAGCGUGGGGAGCAAACAGG